rnacentral:rRNA from 1 species
UUGAGAGUUUGAUCCUGGCUCAGAACGAACGCUGGCGGCAGGCCUAACACAUGCAAGUCGAGCGAGAUCUUCGGAUCUAGCGGCGGACGGGUGAGUAACGCGUGGGAACGUGCCCUUCUCUACGGAAUAGUCCCGGGAAACUGGGUUUAAUACCGUAUACGCCCUUCGGGGGAAAGAUUUAUCGGAGAAGGAUCGGCCCGCGUUAGAUUAGAUAGUUGGUGGGGUAAUGGCCUACCAAGUCUACGAUCUAUAGCUGGUUUGAGAGGAUGAUCAGCCACACUGGGACUGAGACACGGCCCAGACUCCUACGGGAGGCAGCAG